CUUUAAUAUGGCUUCUGCUCCCUCCACUCUACUGAGACUGUUCUGAUUAAAGUUACAGAUGAUCGAAUCGCAGCUAAAUCCAAAGGCCAAUUCUCCAUAAUAAUUCUUCUUGACCUUUCUGCUUCCUUUGACACUGUUGAUCAUGUCCUCCUCCAAACUCUUUAUUCCCUCGGUCACUGCAACACUGUCCUCUCGUGGUUCU